rnacentral:rRNA from 1 species
GACGAACGCUGGCGGCGUGCUUAACACAUGCAAGUCGAACGGUGAAGCGCCUUCCUUUUUGGUGGGUGUGGAUGAGUGGCGAACGGGUGAGUAACACGUGAGUAACCUGCCCCCUUCUUCUGGAUAACCGCAUGAAAGUGUGGCUAAUACGGGAUAUUCUGGGUCUGUCGCAUGAUGGGUCUGGGAAAGAUAUUGUUUCGGUGGGGGAUGGGCUCGCGGCCUAUCAGCUUGUUGGUGGGGUGAUGGCCUACCAAGGCGGUGACGGGUAGCCGGCCUGAGAGGGUGGACGGUCACACUGGGACUGAGACACGGCCCAGACUCCUACGGGAGGCAGCAGUGGGGAAUAUUGCACAAUGGGCGCAAGCCUGAUGCAGCGACGCCGCGGGAGGGAUGGAGGCCUUCGGGUUGUGAACCCCUUUCGCCAGUGAAGCAGGCCUGCCUCGUUUGUGGGUGGGUUGACGGUAGCUGGAUAAGAAGCGCCGGCUAACUACGUG